rnacentral:rRNA from 1 species
CUUUACUAUAGCUUUACACUGGACUUUGUUGAUGGUUGUGUAGGAUAGGUGGGAGGCAUUGAACCACAGGCGCUAGCUUGUGGGGAGCCGACCUUGAAAUACCACCCUGUCAUUAACGAAGUUCUAACUUAGGUCCCGAAACGGGAUUAAGGACAGUGUAUGGUGGGUAGUUUGACUGGGGCGGUCUCCUCCUAAAGAGUAACGGAGGAGCACAAAGGUGUCCUAGGCAUGGUCGGAAAUCAUGCUGAUAGUGUAAAGGCAGAAGGACGCUUGACUGCGAGAGUGACGGUUCGAGCAGGAACGAAAGUUGGUCUUAGUGAUCCGGUGGUUCUGAAUGGAAGGGCCAUCGCUCAACGGAUAAAAGGUA